rnacentral:lncRNA from 1 species
UCUGCAGCUUUGCUUCGGUGCAUCAAUCGCUCCUUCCGGCGAGUUUCCGGCGAACUUCCGUCGAUCAUCCGAUGAACCCUCGGUGAUGCUCCUGCGGACUUCCGGCAAACUCCUGGACUUUGCGACGAUCCACUUGGCAAGUUCCGACGAGCUUCGCUUGGCAAGCUUCUGGACUUCUCGGAUCUGUUCUCGCAGAACCUCCGACGACCGUCCGAACUUCCGUCGAACUCUCGAACUCCCAACGUGAUCAUGAACUUGACUCCGGCGCAACUCCUGCUGCUUGUCUAUCUUUCAUCGUAGUUAAUCCUGCACACUUAUCUCAACACAU